AUCUAUGUAGUAUAAUGAAUACAAUGCAUUUUCAAUGCAUAAAUAGGAGUCCUCUUCUUAGAUA
rnacentral:tRNA from 1 species